rnacentral:tRNA from 1 species
UCGGGUAGAGCAGCCUGGUCGCUCGUCAGGCCCAUAACUUGGAGGCCGCAGGUUCAAGUCCUGCCAGCUUAAGCA